AACGAACGCUGGCGGCAUGCCUAACACAUGCAAGUCGAACGAGAUCUUCGGGUCUAGUGGCGCACGGGUGCGUAACGCGUGGGAAUCUGCCCUUUGGUUCGGAAUAACAGUUGGAAACGACUGCUAAUACCGGAUGAUGACGAAAGUCCAAAGAUGUAUCGCCAGAGGAUGAGCCCGCGUAGGAUUAGCUAGUUGGUGUGGUAAAGGCGCACCAAGGCGACGAUACUUAGCUGGUCUAAGAGGAUGAUCAGCCACACUGGGACUGAGACACGGCCCAGACUCCUACGGAAGGCAGCAGUGGGGAAUAUUGGACAAUGGGCGAAAGCCUGAUCCAGCAAUGCCGCGUGAGUGAUGAAGGCCUUAGGGUUGUAAAGCUCUUUUACCCGGGAUGAUAAUGACAGUACCGGGAGAAUAAGCUCCGGCUAACUCCGUGCCAGCAGCCGCCGUAAUAC
rnacentral:rRNA from 1 species